rnacentral:rRNA from 1 species
GAUGAACGCUGGCGGCGUGCCUAAUACAUGCAAGUCGAGCGAACGGACGAGAAGCUUGCUUCUCUGAUGUUAGCGGCGGACGGGUGAGUAACACGUGGAUAACCUACCUAUAAGACUGGGAUAACUUCGGGAAACCGUAGCUAAUACCGGAUAAUAUUUUGAACCGCAUGGUUCAAAAGUGAAAGACGGUCUUGCUGUCACUUAUAGAUGGAUCCGCGCUGCAUUAGCUAGUUGGUAAGGUAACGGCUUACCAAGGCAACGAUGCAUAGCCGACCUGAGAGAGUGAUCGGCCACACUGGAACUGAGACACGGUCCAGACUCCUACGGGAGGCAGCAGUAGGGAAUCUUACGCAAUGGGCGAGAGCCUGACGGAGCAACGCCGCGUGAGUGAUGAAGGUGUUCGGAUCGUAAAACUCUGUUAUUAGGGAAGAACAUAUGUGUAAGUAACUGUGCACAUCUUGACGGUACCUAAUCAGAAAGCCACGGCUAACUACGUG